CAGAGGGUAGUUUAAUAAAAAUAGUAAUUUUGGAGAUUACUGAUAGGAGUAUUUCUUUCCUCUGA
rnacentral:tRNA from 1 species